rnacentral:rRNA from 1 species
UACGUAGGGCGCAAGCGUUAUCCGGAAUUAUUGGGCGUAAAGAGCUCGUAGGCGGUUUGUCGCGUCUGCCGUGAAAGUCCGGGGCUCAACUCCGGAUCUGCGGUGGGUACGGGCAGACUAGAGUGCAGUAGGGGAGACUGGAAUUCCUGGUGUAGCGGUGAAAUGCGCAGAUAUCAGGAGGAACACCGAUGGCGAAGGCAGGUCUCUGGGCAACAACUGACGCUGAGGAGCGAAAGCGUGGGGAGCGAACAGG